UGUGUCUGCUCAUAUGCUGAAACGCAGUUGCCGAGAAGAAAAACAUGGCUGAAGAGCUGCCUUGUAAGAUCCUCCUGGUUUUCGCUUCGAUGGCAUUGGUAAACGGUUUAUUCACAUGCGGAAUGGGUAAGAGCUGCAGACCGGAUAUAAGACAGUUUUUAUGCACCAAGGAACGUGUAUGGACAUACAACACGAGCACAAGCGAGUAUGUUCGAUGUAAAUUCGACCAGGUGGCGACUAUCGCUAGCGCAUCUGUUCUCUUCAAGCGGUAUUAUUUUCAUGAUGAGCAACAGUAAGCCACUGGACCGCCAAGCGCUUUCAGGGAAUCUUCUCUAAGCAGCAAAGAGACGUCAUGCAAGUUCGCAACAUGGGUAUGCACAUAACAUUGUAUCCGUUUCUAGGAUUCUCGAAUUUCAGCAUGACAGGAGUGAGGGGAAUUGCGGUG
rnacentral:lncRNA from 1 species